rnacentral:rRNA from 1 species
AGUGAACGCUGGCGGUAGGCCUAACACAUGCAAGUCGAACGGCAGCACAGGAGAGCUUGCUCUCUAGGUGGCGAGUGGCGGACGGGUGAGGAAUACAUCGGAAUCUGCCCAGUCGUGGGGGAUAACGUAGGGAAACUUACGCUAAUACCGCAUACGACCUUCGGGUGAAAGAGGGGGAUCGCAAGACCUCUCGCGAUUGGAUGAGCCGAUGUCGGAUUAGCUAGUUAGCGGGGUAAUGGCCCACCAAGGCGACGAUCCGUAGCUGGUCUGAGAGGAUGAUCAGCCACACUGGAACUGAGACACGGUCCAGACUCCUACGGGAGGCAGCAGUGGGGAAUAUUGGACAAUGGGCGCAAGCCUGAUCCAGCCAUACCGCGUGGGUGAAGAAGGCCUUCGGGUUGUAAAGCCCUUUUGUUGGGAAAGAAAUCUUUCAGGCUAAUACCCUGGGAGGAUGACGGUACCCAAAGAAUAAGCACUGGCUAACUUCGUG